rnacentral:pre_miRNA from 1 species
CAGUUAUCACAGUGCUGAUGCUGUCCACUGUAAAGGUACAGUACUGUGAUAACUGAA